GCCGCUACGCCAAGCUCCCUGACAGCUCGGGGAGCCCCACUAACUCAUCUCAGGCCCCCGGAGCGCCAACGCCCCGCUUGUUUUAUUUCCCACUCGCUAAAUUGAGUCGUAAAGACUUAGGAAAAAUAACGACGCGAAGGAAAAAGGGGGCCUCGUUCCCGUUUUUGAGCUCAUCAGUCGCCCCCCUUCCCUUUCCCACGAGUCCCAGGUGGGCCGUUUGUCGACCCAAUUAAAUGCCGUGACAUGUAACCAGAGCGCCAGGAUAUUUACGGAACGCUGACCUCCGGCGCGGCUGAAUCAGGCCGCGUCUGUUAUCACACGGCGGAGACACGAAACACGCAGGCGUUACCUGGAAGAAGAAAACGGAGCGUCAUCCUGAACUCGAGGAACACAGCUCAGCCGGAGGCCGGGGCAGGAGAGAAUAGGCGGGAGGUGUGAUAAGGGAGAAGAGCGUCUUUCAGAGGAGCUGGAGGAAGGGGAUGGCAACGGAGGAAAAAAAAAAAAGAAAGAAAAGGCGUCCGUCCGGUAGCCUUGUCUCUCGCUCCGGUUCACAAACACCGUCCCAUCACCUCCGUGUCCUUGGCAAGCCUCCUCACAAAGGUUAGAGGAAUGGCAGGGAAUUUAGUGGGAGACCCCCGGGGUGGAGACGUCAACUGGGAACAGAGCUCCAGGAGGCCAGACAUUUCUGUGGUGACACACGUUACUAUUCAAGUGGGGUUCCAGAAAGAUCCAGGCGCAAAGCGACACCAGGGGUUAGCAACAGCUAUGAGGUAGGAAUAUUUGCCAAGAAGGUCUCUAGGAGAGAAUUACCACAGCAUUAACAGAGGAUCAUGACACAGACGGGUCGUUUCCGCUGGCUGGCAGGGUUCAGUGGUCUAUUUUAAUCUCCCAGUGCUUUUCCAACUACCGCCAGUUGGAGCAUCACAGGAAAAAUGAGGUUAAACUCAACUACCCGUUGCGUCACACUUGUGAACAAGGAACGUGACGCACAAGUAUGUCUACUGUGAACCGUAUGUUUUAUUUUUUAAGCCCCCCAAUCUCUCUUGCUAUCCUGCUUGCGCCUCCCUCACACAAAA